rnacentral:rRNA from 1 species
UACGUAGGGGGGCAAGCGUUGUCCGGAUUUAUUGGGCGUAAAGAGCGUGUAGGCGGCCUGACAGGUCUGCUGUGAAAACUCGAGGCUCAACCUCGAGAUGUCGGCGGAAACCGUCUGGCUAGAGUCCGGAAGAGGAGAGUGGAAUUCCUGGUGUAGCGGUGAAAUGCGCAGAUAUCAGGAGGAACACCGGUGGCGAAGGCGGGUCUCUGGGCCGAUACUGACGUGAGGAGCGAAAGCGUGGGGAGCGAACAGG